GGGGGAUAACCUGGGGAAACCCAGGCUAAUACCGCAUACGUCCUACGGGAGAAAGGGGGCUCCGGCUCCCGCUAUUGGAUGAGCCUAUGUCGGAUUAGCUAGUUGGUAAGGUAAUGGCUUACCAAGGCAACGAUCCGUAGCUGGUCUGAGAGGAUGAUCAGCCACAUCGGGACUGAGACACGGCCCGAACUCCUACGGGAGGCAGCAGUGGGGAAUAUUGGACAAUGGGGGCAACCCUGAUCCAGCCAUGCCGCGUGUGUGAAGAAGGCCCUCGGGUUGUAAAGCACUUUCAGCGAGGAAGAACGCCUAUCGGUUAAUACCCGGUAGGAAAGACAUCACUCGCAGAAGAAGCACCGGCUAACUCCGUGCCAGCAGCCGCGGUAAUACGGAGGGUGCAAGCGUUAAUCGGAAUUACUGGGCGUAAAGCGCGCGUAGGUGGCUUGAUAAGCCGGUUGUGAAAGCCCCGGGCUCAACCUGGGAACGG
rnacentral:rRNA from 1 species